UGAGGUCGUAUUUGACACUGAUAUUUUGUUCGGAUCGUAUUUGGAACGACUGAAAUUGUUGUGGUCAAAAUUGACACUUUUCCCUCUUAAUCACAUGCAUUAACUUAGUUAUCAAUUAUUUGGUUUUAGUUACAAAAAAGUAGCUCAAUAGCUAAAAGCCUAAAACUGUCUUUUCUUGUAAUAAAAACAUCAAAACUGCAUUUCAGUGUUAAUAAUUCAUGAAACAAAUACAUAAAUGAAAAUAUGAAUAUUGAUAUAUAUAUAUAUAUAUAUAUAAAAAAAUAUGAUUGACCAUAAAUAACAAUAUAUUUUUAAAAUUAAUCUUAGGAAUUGUAUUAUAAAUGCAUUAAGAUUUAAGAAUAAUUUAUGAUUCUUUAUUUAUUUAUAUAUUUUGAGUAUUUUCAUUUUAAAAGUUGUUCAGAUAUGCGAUAUUCUGUGAAAGCAUAAAAUCUUGGUGCUAUUAUUCAUUUUUAAAGGAUGGAUGUUGAUCUUGAAACUAUAAUAUAUGGCGAUAUAAAUAUCUCAUGCCCAAUAUCAAAUUUUGAUCUAUAAUAUUCAUCUGGUUUGGAUCAGAUCGAUUAAAUUACUUUUUUUAAACAAGAUCUUUGGUCAACUGAUUUUUGGAUCGAUCUGGCCAAUAUAAAAUUGCCAAUCUUGGUUCCAAUCGCUUUCGUCCUUUUUCGCUACAUUUUUUUUUUUGA
rnacentral:lncRNA from 1 species